CAAGAACAGCACCAUCACCAGGGCCAUCCCUUGUUACCUUCCAAGCUGUCAUUCUUAAGGGUGUCCCCACAGAGCAUCCUCCCUGGGGCAGGAGUGCUGGUAGCUGGAACCAUGCACACGCCGUGGCACACACACGCAGCCGGGGAUCACCGUGCACCUCCGUAGGACCAAGCAGAUGGGACAUAACCCUGAGCCAUGCUGGAGAUGCCUCAUGGGGUUUGCGAAGGGCAGCCCUGCUCCUGGAGGUACCUGGUGCCAGCGUGGUGCUCGGGAGCGUGGUGCAGCAGGGAUGCACGCAGCCAGCGGAGAAAUGGGGACAGCCUCUUGAUCAUAGCACGCAGAGUUGGCAAAUUGCCGUGACUUAACAAAUUCCUGCUGCUGAACUGAGCUGUGGAAAUCACUCCAGCAUGCACUGGCGGCCUCUGCACGUGUGCAGGGGUUUUUUUAAGCCACAUUUUCCUUUGCUGCCAGGUGGGGCAGGGUCCAGCCUGUUCCUCAGGGGGCCAUCCCUAUCUGACGCAGCGUUUGGGAUCUCCCCGUGUGCCUCAGUUCAGGCUAUGAAGGCUUUGCAGAUUGGGGUGAUCUGAGGGCCAACGCCCCCCCACCACCACCACCCUGUGCCAGCUGCUGUCACUGAGAGGGCAGCAGCCCAGAUGUCCCCUGUGACCACCGCAGUGGGAGAGGAGUGGCAGGCAACCUACAAGGGCUGACAAAUCACCUCUGAUGGGCAGCAUCAGAGGUACGAUGAGCCAUUUGUCGCUGCUCCUGCCAAGGAUGUGCAUGGAGCGGGGGGAACCAUUCCCACUGGGUGUGGGACCAAAGGAGCAGGGGUUGCUGUGGAGUUCAGAUGAAGUCCGGUGCUAAAAGGAUGAGUUUCUACAGACCAAAAGACAAUACUUUGUGCCUCAAAGAUUGAGCAUGGCAGGGACCAGAGCUCAGUCCCUUUUGCUGCCCCAGUGCUGAGGCCUCAGUGAUGGGGCCAGAGAUGCAGCUCAGAGCAGGCUUUGGGCCACACUACCUGUGUGACAGUGUGGCUGUGUGUUUAGCCUCGCUGGAAGAUCAAGCCCCACUGGUUAAUUAAAGUCUUG
ensembl:lncRNA